rnacentral:rRNA from 1 species
GACGAACGCUGGCGGCGUGCUUAACACAUGCAAGUCGAACGGUGAAGCGCCUUCCUUUUUGGUGGGUGUGGAUGAGUGGCGAACGGGUGAGUAACACGUGAGUAACCUGCCCCCUUCUUCUGGAUAACCGCAUGAAAGUGUGGCUAAUACGGGAUAUUCUGGGUCUGUCGCAUGAUGGGUCUGGGAAAGAUAUUGUUUCGGUGGGGGAUGGGCUCGCGGCCUAUCAGCUUGUUGGUGGGGUGAUGGCCUACCAAGGCGGUGACGGGUAGCCGGCCUGAGAGGGUGGACGGUCACACUGGGACUGGGACACGGCCCAGACUCCUACGGGAGGCAGCAGUGGGGAAUAUUGCACAAUGGGCGCAAGCCUGAUGCAGCGACGCCGCGUGAGGGAUGGAGGCCUUCGGGUUGUGAACCUCUUUCGCCAGUGAAGCAGGCCUGCCUCGUUUGUGGGUGGGUUGACGGUAGCUGGAUAAGAAGCGCCGGCUAACUACGUG